AGAGUUUGAUCAUGGCUCAGGAUGAACGCUGGCGGCGUGCUUAACACAUGCAAGUCGAACGAAUCAGCGAGUAGUGGGAGCCAAGCGGAAGCGUGGACGCGAGAAAUCGUACGAAGCGCAGAAGUGAGGAAGAAGCUAAAAGCUGGUUAGUGGCGAACGGGUGAGUAACACGUGGGUGACCUGCCUCAAAGCGGGGGAUAACUACCCGAAAGGGUAGCUAAUACCGCAUGUGCUUUACCAGUCAAAUGGUAAAGGGAAGGAGCGAUCCACUUUGAGAGGGGCCCGCGGCCUAUCAGCUAGUUGGUGAGGUAAAGGCUCACCAAGGCGAUGACGGGUAGCUGGUCUGAGAGGAUGAUCAGCCACACUGGCACUGAGAUACGGGCCAGACUCCUACGGGAGGCAGCAGUGAGGAGUAUUGCGCAACGGACGCAAGUCUGGCGCAGCAACGCCGCGUGGGCGAAGAAGGUCUUCGGAUCGUAAAGCCCUUUUCUAGAGGAAGAGGAAGGACGGUACUCUAGGAAUAAGUCUCGGCUAACUACGUGCCAGCAGCCGCGGUAAAACGUAGGAGACAAGCGUUAUCCGGAUUCAUUGGGCGUAAAGGGCAUGUAGGUGGAGCCUUAAGUUGGAUGUAAAAUCUCCUGGCUUAACUAGGAGGGGUCAUCCAAAACUGGGGCACUUGAGGGCAGGAGAGGGAAAUGGAAUUCCCGGUGUAGCGGUGGAAUGCGUAGAUAUCGGGAGGAACACCAGUGGCGAAAGCGGUUUCCUGGCCUGCAUCUGACACUAAUAUGCGAAAGCUAGGGGAGCAAACGGGAUUAGAUACCCCGGUAGUCCUAGCUGUAAACGAUGGAUACUAGUGUUGGUGGUAUCAACCCCACCAGUGCCGUAGUUAACACGUUAAGUAUCCCGCCUGGGGAGUACGACCGCAAGGUUAAAACUCAAAUGAAUUGACGG
rnacentral:rRNA from 1 species